AGUUUUUAAACUUAUCAGGAUGAACGCUAGCUACAGGCUUAACACAUGCAAGUCGAGGGGAAACGAUAUUGGAAGCUUGCUUCCGAUAGGCGUCGACCGGCGCACGGGUGAGUAACGCGUAUCCAACCUGCCCACCACUUGGGGAUAACCUUGCGAAAGUAAGACUAAUACCCAAUGAUAUCUCUAGAAGACAUCUGAAAGGGAUUAAAGAUUUAUCGGUGAUGGAUGGGGAUGCGUCUGAUUAGCUUGUUGGCGGGGUAACGGCCCACCAAGGCGACGAUCAGUAGGGGUUCUGAGAGGAAGGUCCCCCACAUUGGAACUGAGACACGGUCCAAACUCCUACGGGAGGCAGCAGUGAGGAAUAUUGGUCAAUGGGCGAGAGCCUGAACCAGCCAAGUAGUGUGCAGGAUGACGGCCCUAUGGGUUGUAAACUGCUUUUAUAAGGGAAUAAAGUGAGUCUCGUGAGACUUUUUGCAUGUACCUUAUGAAUAAGGACCGGCUAAUUCCGUGCCAGCAGCCGCGGUAAUACGGAAGGUCCGGGCGUUAUCCGGAUUUAUUGGGUUUAAAGGGAGCGUAGGCCGGAGAUUAAGCGUGUUGUGAAAUGUAGACGCUCAACGUCUGCACUGCAGCGCGAACUGGUUUCCUUGAGUACGCACAAAGUGGGCGGAAUUCGUGGUGUAGCGGUGAAAUGCUUAGAUAUCACGAAGAACUCCGAUUGCGAAGGCAGCUCACUGGAGCGCAACUGACGCUGAAGCUCGAAAGUGCGGGUAUCGAACAGGAUUAGAUACCCUGGUAGUCCGCACGGUAAACGAUGGAUGCCCGCUGUUGGUCUGAAUAGGUCAGCGGCCAAGCGAAAGCAUUAAGCAUCCCACCUGGGGAGUACGCCGGCAACGGUGAAACUCAAAGGAAUUGACGGAAGGGAGUGUG
rnacentral:rRNA from 1 species